CUAAGGGCACGAGCUGGCCAGACACCCUCGGACACGAGGAAACAGGAAGCUGGAGAGGCAACGGGUAGGGUUGACCUGGCCGGGGUCCUGAAACCUGUGUGAAGAUGAGUCACCACAAGAGCUGCUAAUAGCUGAGAAGACACCUGCCGCCAGCCACCAGGAAGAAGCCUCGUCUUUGAGCACCGGAGAGCCAUCAGCCUGCCGACAACUUUCAGAUGUUCCACGAACGCGUGAGUGGGAGGACAAGUGAAAUGAGAUCCAAGGCCCGCCGCAGUGACUGAUGACCCCUCCGGCGUGCUGCGAACAGAUGCGACGGCUUGAACCUCUUGACCUCCGACAGCGCCGACCACGCCGGUGGUACUAUCCGUCGGGCUUGUCAAUGCGGCUCCGCGUUCUUUGAUCAGCCAAUCGUGUGGCAGGAGUAUAUAAAGGUAUGAAGCCGCGCAGGCGAGGUGCAUCACUCAAUGUUCCUGAUCAAACACCAGCAUGUCUGGAUCACGGCGUGAUGGCGGGGGCCAGAGGCCCGUUUUGAAUAUCUAUGAGCCCGCUGAUCUCCGGGGAUUUUUAGUAGUAGUAGUACAAGCUCUUAACACUUAAAGGGAUAGUUCGGUGGUUUUGAAGCCGG